rnacentral:ribozyme from 17 species
AAAUCACAAAGACAGGCGACAACAAUUUCAAGAAAAAACCAAUACUAUACAGAUAUCUUAAUCAUCCUUUUUCGCUUGUUCUUCUUCCUUCUUUUCUUCUUCUUCCUCCUC